rnacentral:lncRNA from 1 species
GUAUUUCCUUUAGUUGUUUAUUCUUUCAUACGUUUAUACGUUUUGAUUAUUGUGUAAGAGAUGUUAAUCAUAAUCUAUUUUAUUUCGCUUCUGGACUUAGAAUAAAUAUAUACAUUUCUUUUUAAUUUCUGGGGCCGUUACAGUUGGUAUCAGAGCCGCGUUCCUUGGACUCGUCCCUUACACAAUAAUAUUUAGAGAAAUACCAACCGAUUAAUCGUUACUCAACCCUUCCUUAUGAAAUACAGGUGCAGAGAGAUGAGGAGAGGAAGACCCCCACU